UACGUAGGGAGCGAGCGUUGUCCGGAUUUAUUGGGCGUAAAGAGCUCGUAGGCGGUUUGGUAAGUCGGGUGUGAAAGCUCCGGGCUCAACUCGGAGAGGUCACUCGAUACUGCCAUGACUUGAGUCCGGUAGGGGGGUGUGGAAUUCCCGGUGUAGCGGUGAAAUGCGUAGAGAUCGGGAGGAACAUCAGUGGCGAAGGCGGCCUUCUGGACCAGUACUGACGCUGAGGCACGAAAGCGUGGGGAGCAAACAGG
rnacentral:rRNA from 1 species